UACGUAGGGGGCGAGCGUUGUCCGGAAUCAUUGGGCGUAAAGCGCGUGUAGGCGGCCCGUUAAGUCGGAUGUGAAAUCCCGGAGCUCAACUCCGGAACUGCAUCUGAUACUGGCGGGCUUGAGGCAGGUAGAGGAGAGUGGAAUUCCCGGUGUAGCGGUGGAAUGCGCAGAUAUCGGGAGGAACACCAGCGGCGAAGGCGGCUCUCUGGGCCUGACCUGACGCUGAGACGCGAAAGCGUGGGGAGCGAACAGG
rnacentral:ncRNA from 2 species